ACGCAAUUUCACCAUGUUACCCAGGCUGGUCUGGCACUCCUUGGCUCAAGCAAUAGCAGUCUGCCUGCUGCAGCUCUCCAAGUGCUGGGAUUACAGACUCUUUUGCUAUCUGGAAACCCAUGUCCACCUCUGACUUCCACUCAAAAUUGCUUUCCUCACAGUCUGACUGCGAGAGUUGUGAAAAAUUGGGAUGUGCUUCUGAGGUGGGCUGUGGAAUGCCAUUACCCUCAGGUGACUACAGAUGUGUUAACACCCAGCAUGUUCCGGUAGGAGACUUUCUGGAUGGGGAAGAUUUCCAGGAAUUGGCAACAAGCUCAUUUCACUGGUGGGUUUGCUGAAGCAUUAUCACAAGACAGUCAGAAUGACUGAUGAGUGCUCUUCAGGUGUGAAUCAUGGCAAUACAGUGAAAGACAGUGAUUUACUGCUUUUGAGGGCGUGCAUGUAUAUGAUUAACGGAUGGAAGUGCAGGACUCCAAGAUUUACUUCCUUCCCUUUCCAGCAGAAUUACCUGAGACGAGUAAAAUCUACUGGUGGAGUCACUCCAUUAUUCUUAUCUGUGGAGAUCUAGAUCUUGAUUUGAAAGUUUCUGAGAAAAUCUUCAGCUCAGACUUGAGGGUCAACUUUACCAGCUGAAGUGACUACAUCCUGCCUGCUUUCAGCUCCAGUGGAAAAUGCAUUAAUCCCAGAGUCUCCGUGAGGUUUCCUGUUUGAUGACAUAAUCAGAAAAUCCUCCUCACAUUGCCCUUGGGGUUGCUGUCUGGAUGUUAUGUUGUCUUGGAUCUGCAUUUACUGCUCAACCACAUCUAAUUUGAUGUCCUCUGCAGAUUUAAAAUGUGUGCCUUCUUUUCCGUCACCAAGUCAUCCCUGGGUUACUACUGAACAUCCUUCUCAAUUCCCCCCGACCCAUGGAUGGCUGUUCUCCAUUGUCUGUUUCACCAGAUGUCCUCAAA
rnacentral:lncRNA from 1 species